GAUGAGGUGUACGUUAUUUUCAAACGCGACAAACCAUUAAUCUUUCGAUGCCACUCACCUGAUAUAUCGUUUCCAAACUGACCAACCAGCGUGACAAAACAUUAACACAUUCACGUUCAUUUGGAGAAAACUGCUGAACGCCUUUUCUUUUUAGCGCCACUUAGCCUACUGGAUAUUACUAUUUGAAAGAAACUUUUGUAUUAAUGUCUUCGAAGUCAUGUGUUUCCAGUCGGCCUGGAUUGAACAAAAAAGGGGGAAAAAAACAGUUAAAUAUUGUGUUAUUAAUCAAUGCCGUAUUUUAACACAAAAUGAGUAUUUUCCUCACAAGAGAAGUGUUUCCAAAGCAUUUCAAAUGCGCGUUUGACGAUACAAACAUCCUUCGACGAAGUGCGUUCAGUUUAAUCUUCUGUUGUAUCGAUUGCACAUCAACAAGGAAGUUAUCACGUGUAUCAUAAACGCGGCAGGUUUUGGGUGAGCUAUUUCUUUUAAAGCUGGUCUCGCUGCAUUUAAACGUUGUCCUGUGGUAGAGUUUCUCUCUAUGUUGUCGGAGGUAUUAGCGCGCGCUGUAAACACGCGGGUGUGCUGAGGGGGGUCUGGCCCCGGAGAUCACAGGACAGAAUGAACGGCUCUGGGAACUGAACUGGGUCGUGGGUUUAACAGGCGUGCUCUGUGGGGAUAUGUGCUGCUAACUUUAACUCUGUUAACAGAAGCACUACACCUGAGAGACAAAGAAAAGUGUUAGUUACACCGCAGGUUGCAUAUUAAUUGCUUUCGCAGUUCUUGUGAGUUUUGCUUUAUGUAUAAUAUACAUAAAGCUUAAAGGUGUAAAACAAGGACAUCACGAAAGUUUCUACACCUGUGAUAUGACCUCUGACCCCUGCCCUUUGCCCCUGCAGUCUGAGACAGUGUAACACUGGAAUGCUUCUGGCUUAGGGUGACCCAUGGCUCCAAGACUGCCACAAAGCACAACCUCUCCAAAAUUCACCCCUGAUGAAGACAAUGAUGAGGAGGAGGAAGAUGAUGGAGGACUGAGAGAAAUCAGAAACUCUUUAUCAACCUGAGUGCCCUUCCUCAGCCUUACCCACAAUCCCCUUCUACUGACUCUACCCUGAUUUUACAGUCAGAUGUCUCGCCAACAAUGAAAAACAAAUUAGGAAAGCCUUGAAACAUCCCUGCAUGCUUGAUGAUGCAGUCCAGACAAUAAAAGGAAUUCAAAACGGAACUUCCACCAGAUAUUUCCAGACCAGGUGGACUCUUUCUGUCUCUCUGUCACUGACGGCCCUCCGGUUCUCGUACCAGAUGCUGUUUUAUUGUACUUCACAUUAGCCCAGCAUUUUAUAAAAGGUGGUUGGGAGGCUCUAGCCAGAUGGGGUAAAGAAAGAAAACAGCAUUUAAAUUCUUUCCGAACAGCAUCUUGUGUAUAUUGUGUACAGGAUAUGAAUACAGGCUUAUUCUUAGCAAUUUGAAGACACCAUGUUUGUAAAUAGUUCACAGAUUGUACAUUUUCCUGCAUUAUGUCUUUGUAGGUUACACCAUUCCAACAUUUAUUCAACAUUUUUAUCUGUACAGACACAAAGCUUGACAUUGAUCUUGAGUAUUUAUAUUCUGUAAGCAUCCAUUUAAACCAUAUAGACCCCUCUUAAGACAACUCAAAUGUUAUUGCUUGUUAAGGAGACAUUUAUAGAGUGAUCUAGACCUAGUUAAACCCUAAUGCCGGAUUGAGUGACUACGCCUUUGAGAACGAGAGAAACACAAUUGAAUUGCAUCUCUCGCUGUCUCUCUGCAUCUCUUUAUCUGCUGUAGAAAUCCCAGCCCAUGUGGUUCUAGUUCCCGAUUCCCAGAUAACUUCCAAGCUUGAUUGCCAACGUCCUUGUACAGUUUUUGAAUUGCAUCUUUUUUGCCCCUUCAAACAAUGAUUAUCUUAUGCCUGAAUCCUCUACAUAGCUGUGACAUUCAUGUAGGUGACCCUGCGAGGGUCGCGGGGCCAGGAGGGGUCAGAGAACCUGAGGGGGGGUGGAUCUCUCCUGGAUGAGCCUCUCGCUGAGUUCCCAGAGGCUGAGGGCGGCCGUAGGGUCCUGGGCCUGCUGAGAGGGCAAGCAGCGGAAGCAAUUGUUGAAGUACAUCCCUCCGAUACCCUCCAGCUCUGGAGCCACGGCGCAGUAGACUGUAGUGGCCGCUCCCUGUUGCUGUGGAUACAAAAAUGAAAAUAUCAGAAUAAACUGAAGCAAUGUGAGCAAAAAUAAAUACUGUUGUUCUUGUAUGGAGCCUGAAGAACUGGGUGACACUCUUCAAAGGUUCGGGGCAAUACCAAAGACACCUCUAAUCAUCUGAGACUUGCUUUUUUUUCCCCCUAAAACUGAUCCUGAGAAGGGGGUGCUUCACAGACUUUCAAAAGACACCAUGGGAUAGACUGUGAACUUGUUCAAAUGGAGUUCCUGUUGUACUCGUACAUCAGACACAUGGCUGUCAACAAUCUGCAUGCUGUCAUAUAGGUAUCUGCCAAAUACUAGUCUAGGAACCACCGAGAUGAGCUGGUUUAUGGUGGAAGUGUUCAAUUCUGGCAAGUUCUAUAAAAGCUUUUAAGGUGGACUCAAACCUCUUGCUGUCUGAAUGCUGUAUCCUCUCUAGGGUUCAAAGGUUAGCAGAACAACCAAGCGACAACAAUAGCAAUGACAUGCCUUGCCGUUAUCUCCUCUGUAAGUAGGAAAAACAGGAUAUAAUAUCUCAGAAACUGGAACUGAGAAGCACUCAAUUGGCAGGUUUAUUGUAUAUCUCUUGCACGCCUGCCAAGAAUCACAGACAAUGAUCAACACACACACAAAAACAGUAUAGUUGUAGAUACUGUACAUAGCAGAAAGGAAGUGCUUUGGGGAAGUCUUGUAAAGACGACUGUGGGGAAGCCUGCCAAAACUGUCCAUUCAUCUCAUGUCAAAGGGAUUUCUGGAUGUCACCGAGUCAAUGGGGACUUUCUGUCAUUGCUGGAAAAGGCAUCUUCACACACAAACACAAAUUUAAAUCCUAAACAAGGGAUCCAGCACAAAGAUAUCCAAUGAAAGGGUACCCAAGUUGGAGACGUAUACCCCAAAUCCCAAUAUCCUCUGUAACGAAUGCAUAAACGGUCAAGCCCCAUGAAAAUCUCUGAAGGGCCAUUCACACUGACAGCGUUUUGAAGCAACAAAGCAACCGGAAGUCAUUUGUUGAUUUGACACGACAAGGCCGACAAAUACCAUUGGCAAGUUCAAAUUAGGUGACUACCAAUGCAGAUACACAGAUACAACUACUGCAGUUGCUAUUAGGACUUUGGCAAACUCCAGUGACUUAAUCGUUUUCAGUGUGAACCCCUUUUAAGACAGAAGGCAGUUACUUGAAUUUCUUUUUUAAAAUGUAAAGGUGAAGUCAAGGUGUAAUUUUGGCACCAAUCUAGCCAAUACAAGUGAAAUUGCGCAAAACAGUCCUCCAUUCUUCCAUUUUUCGAAAAAGAGUUUGUCUUCAAUGUCACACCAUUGGUUGAGUAAAAAUUUGAAAUGUUGGUUUAAGACUUAACUAGUUUAAAAUCAGAGUGGUAUCAGUGUUCAGCCACGGUUCAAAGGUCAGCCUAGCAAUCCAAACCCCUCACAUUACUGAAUUGCUCAUGAAACGUCAAAACCACUCAUUUGUGUCCGAUAUGCAACAUGUACGCCCCCAGUCAUGCCUCUUUUAGUGUUUAUUUUGUUCAUGGCCUCGGGUUUGAUUGUUUACACAAAAACAAAUGACUCUUCACGUCUUACAGACGCUCUGCACUUUUCCACAUGAAAGAUAAGCGGCAAAUUUUUAGGGAUGGUUAGUUAUCCCGGGGUUUUAACUGUCUUGGGGAAAGAGGGAUGAAGAUUUAGAGGAAAAGAAAAACAUGUCAGACAGAAUUAGAGUUGACGUGCAGUUCAAAUGUUUCCAGACUCCUCUUAUGUCCCUCCUCUCACAGAAGAAACCGUCCUGUGCUACUUCACACGCAACUCCUGCAGGAAGUUAACUUCUGUGAGAUGCACAUGAAAUAGAUGGCUGCUUUAUCUUCAAAUAGUGCAGGAGCGUCUCAGAUCUGAAAAAAAGUGCAGGGCAACGUUAAGGAGAUCAUCUGGCAGACGUUUACAGGGAUGUGCACCGAUGGCCAACUCUUUAAACGGACGCAAAUACACACGCGUCGCAACAGUACAAAGACUUUGUCUCAUUUAAGGAGCCAAAUCAACAGCUGUAGCUCAAGCUGGCAAAGACUGUGACAGAACGCUUGUUAGAUACACACGCACACACAAACUCGCAGGAAGAAAGCCAAGGCUGUAGCCAGAAAUUCAGCGAGCGAACUUCACGCGCUCAUCCCCAUUUAGUGUGUUUUUCUGUAUCUGCGUGUGUCGGACCAAGCGUCUUUUGAAGUACACAGAUGCUGCAUGUUGCUUUGGUUAGCGCGGCAAUAAACAUGACAUCAAAAGGAUGGAUCUUUCUGGAGUCUUACCUGCUUUUGCAGUGAUAAGUUAAUACAUAUUUGAAGCUGGGAAUAUGAAAGGAUGGAAAAUGUCACUCAACCCCUCUAGCGAACCCAACACAGUGAGUCAGUAUGCAGAGAUGCACUUUAUGGAUUCACUGCUCUUGUAAUUACAUUUAAUGUUGUCAUAUGCACAAAAAAAGUGUUCAAAGCUGUGUGAAAUUAUUUCCCUGGUUAUUAAGGUGAGGUUCUAAUAAGAGAAUCUGCUAGACUUGUCUUAGCUUUCGAUGAGCUCAUUAGGAAAAACAAAUGUGCACUGAAAUCCAAACCCAGAAUAAAGGUUUAGAAACCAUAUAAAUGGCCUGCAAGUAUUGAUUUUUAUAAUGUCCCAAUAUUUUACAUCUUUAUGGUCACAUACAUGUUUUAAGCAGGUAUGCUAACGCUAGGCUCCACGUUUUUAUUUUAGCAGGAAAAAAAAAAAAAACAAGCAGCUUAAACUAGCCUGAGGUGGUUCAGCUCAUCUUGAACACCUGACCAGGCUGGUGUUCAUCUGGUUUAACUGGUUGGCCAUCUGCUCUUCUGGCCUGACCAGCUGAGAAGUACCCAAAAGCAGAUAAUCAGAUUAGCCCGACCACUGAAAACCAGCUUGGUAUCUAACAAACCACUUCAGGCUAGUUCAAGAAGUGUUUUUCAGCAGAUUCUUCAUUAGAAUACAGUACCCACCAGCUCAAAGUUAACACUAAUACACUCCUCACGAGUGCACAUGCUCCAUUGCAGUUGCCACUUGGUGCUGCUAAUGCCUUCUGUAAUGACGCACUGUGAAGACUAGCAUGACUGAGAUUACCAGCGCUAAUGGAUGUGGAGCGUGAUUUCAGCGCUGGAUAGCAUGCUGCUGUCCCUUAGCCAAACAAUGGGCUGAAAUGAAUCAAAAUCCUCUUCCAAAUGUGCUUUAGCCCAUUUCCAAAGCCUGCCUAGACUUCCUAGUGGAUGUUAGAUGCAGGGAGAACACAUGGUUAAAUCCCAGCAGCCCCACAUUAGAGCUGUGCCAAAUGAAUGGGGCUAACGCAGAACUAGCAGUUAGCUUAUGCGACUUUAUUACAGUAAUCGCCAUCUGAAUUACAGCUUAGAGCGUACAGUCGGCUUGAUUGUUCAGUUGGGAUUUAGUACAUGUGCUUUAUUAGAACUCUGAACAUUGAAUACAUUCCCAUCAAGCUUUCUCAGAUGCAUCCUCACUAAAUAUAGAUCUGCGAUUGAUCUAUUGAGGCUCUAGACUGGAACACCAUUUCCUUUAUCCGUUAACAGCGGGACAAUAAUAGCGUUUCUAACCAUGAGCCUCCUGCUUUGGUGUAUUUAGCUGAGGGAGAUGGUGAGAUUGGAUUGUCAGACUGAAUAAGAGAACAUGGAUCUUAUUGCCGUUAUGCUGAACCUCCUGGCACUUGACCCUGAUGGCCCUUUUGGGCAGAUAAGCUUUAUGAUAAAACGCAUUAACAUGCUGGACCAGGUACUGCUCGCAUUUAUCAAGAGCUCAGCCCAGAAAACAGAGAUAGCGAGAGCUGCAGAUCAGUUAAAGCAGUGGUUAUCAACUGGUUUCGCUUCAGGACACAAGAUUUAUCAUUGGGCAUUAAGGACGUCCCAACACAUGACUACAACUGUCUGUUGUACAAAAGUCUUUGAUGCUGUAUUGUUUUAUUAGUGGUUUCCCAAACAUGAGGAUGACGUAUGAUGUUAUCUGCCUAAUUUUGCUAGCUUUUACCAAGAGAACCACAAAUUUAUUUGGACAAACGGGCUUUGACGCCAACAAUUUUGGCGCCAACAUUGUUUUUCCUUUCUGUCCACAAUUUGAACAAAAAAUGGGUUGAGAGCCACCAGUUGAAGAACCACUGAGUUAAAUACUGCAGUAUUCAAACUUCUACGAAAACACAAACCGCCGAAUCCGUUUGAUCAUUUUUGCAGCAAUACUAACAACCAAACCAAAGCAAAUAAAACAAAGAGCAACACUUAAACGCUUCCUCUGUCAAAUAUAAUAAAGGCCGAAAAUGGACACAGCAUACCAUUCACUCCAAAGUCAUGCAAUAAGUCCAUUUGUCACUUUUACGUGCGUAAAUAUCUAAUGUCUUCCUGUAUCAAAUGCAAUUUUCAAUAUGAAACCUCAUGCAUACAGAUCCAAAUAAGUCAUUUUGUUUAGCAAUAAAUAAUUGAGAUGAUAAAACCAUGUCCUAACCAGGUGGAAUACGAUAAAGCAACAUGCUUGGUUUCUACGAUUUUUCGUCUAAAAUCCUGCUCUUCAUAAUUGUAUAUUUACCUUUAAAUAUGCUCGUAGUGUCUGGUUAGCGUGCUUCUUUUUGAUUAAUACAGGUGCUUAAUAUUUCCAGAAAUGAUAUACAAUUUCACGCCUUCUAUUUGUUAAACCCAGGAAUGGUGCCCCCAUCAUGCACACCUGGUAAAAUCUGACUGUAUCUAGUGUACAAAUUGUGAUUUAAUUCCUCUUUUACCAUCAGUAUUAAAGUCCUGUGCUGGCUGAGCGUUUAUAGUUGGCGGACAUAGUUUUUUCCUGUAGUUCUGGUGUCACUAUACACCGUGAACGGACAUGAUCCUUUUUCCAUGUAGUUUCUCCAACACCCUCACAAUGUAGAGUAUCUGUCAUAUAGAGCAUCACGUUAUAAUCAGCAGAGAAAAUCACUUGAAAGUGCAAGUUAUGACCUUACUGGGUAAGAGUUAUAUCCCUUUGUUUCUAGAAAGGUUGUGUUGAAUUUUCUGUCAUUGGUGCAUGUAAUAGGUUAAGAAAAAUGGUGUAAAUUUUCCCGUCAUCGGUCUCAUGUUGUCGUGAGCGAUCUGUCCACCUCUGCUGUCAGUUCCUCUGUGUUGUACAUACAUCUGUAAAUAUUGAACAGCUAUGCAUGCUGACACUCUAGCAAUUGUUUCAGGUACUUUUAUAAUCAAAAAUGCAUAUGGCAUGUGCUAAAAAAAAUAUAAAAAAAAGUGAAUUGAGAAAAAGUAACAUAAUAAAACGAUUGGUCAAAUAAACAUGAUCUCAUAAACCGAUGUGAAAAAAUGGUGAUUUUUUUUAUUUUAUUUUAUUAGACUUUGUUUUUGUUAUAAGCAAUUAUAUCUUUGGCUGUCAUUCCCAGUGUCUUUUCUUGUUAUCCUUCAGACAUUUUUGUAGGAGGGUUGAGGCAAACACGAUAUCAAAAUGAUAUUGGGUAGGGAGGAUGAUCAAUGUUAAUUGUAUGGAUUUUGAACCAUGGCCCUACAUUUCAAAACCAAACUUCAUAUGCUCACAGAAUAACGAUGUGUAUUUUAUUGGUAAUUUAUUCUGUCUGUAUCCUGGUUUUCUGACUGUAACAACCAAACAAAAGGCAAAUGUCUUUUAUUUCAGCACUUUUUUUUGUACAUAUCAUGUAUCUUGCUAUAUUCUAUUAUAUGGCCAUGAAGUGAUUGACUUCAGCGAUUCCCAAGAGUAUUGCGAUUAGUUUUGCCUCAGCCCUAUGCAACAACCUGUACAUUUAUAACCAAACCAGAGACUAUUCUAUGAAGGAGAUCAUGGAUCCAAUGGAGGAAGAGGGACUGUUUUUUUUAGGAAUGUUUAUUUUCAAUUCAUGACGACCAUGAUAGUUGGAGGUGUCUGAUUUUUAAUCUGUGCUAAAGAUAUUUUAAAUUUAAUAAAUAAUCAUUGUAACAAGAUGUUCAGUGGUUUGGUUCUUUGCCAUGAUGUGUUUUUUAAUUUGGAUGGUUUAGUGAUAUUAGAGUAAAUUGGUAUAUGUACAAUA